UACGGAGGGGGCUAGCGUUGUUCGGAAUUAUUGGGCGUAAAGAGCUCGUAGGCGGCUUGUCACGUCGGAUGUGAAAGCCCGGGGCUUAACCCCGGGUCUGCAUUCGAUACGGGCAGGCUAGAGUUCGGUAGGGGAGAUCGGAAUUCCUGGUGUAGCGGUGAAAUGCGCAGAUAUCAGGAGGAACACCGGUGGCGAAGGCGCCACUCUGGGCCGAAACUGACGCUGAGGAGCGAAAGCAUGGGUAGCAAACAGG
rnacentral:rRNA from 1 species